UACGAAGGGGGCUAGCGUUGUUCGGAAUCACUGGGCGUAAAGGGCGCGUAGGCGGCCUGAUAAGUCGGGGGUGAAAGCCUGUGGCUCAACCACAGAAUUGCCUUCGAUACUGUUAGGCUUGAGACCGGAAGAGGUAAGUGGAACUGCGAGUGUAGAGGUGAAAUUCGUAGAUAUUCGCAAGAACACCAGUGGCGAAGGCGGCUCACUGGCCCGGUACUGACGCUGAGGCGCGAAAGCGUGGGGAGCAAACAGG
rnacentral:rRNA from 1 species